AGUGAACGCUGGCGGUAGGCCUAACACAUGCAAGUCGAACGGCAGCACAGUAAGAGCUUGCUCUUACGGGUGGCGAGUGGCGGACGGGUGAGGAAUACAUCGGAAUCUACUUUUUCGUGGGGGAUAACGUAGGGAAACUUACGCUAAUACCGCAUACGACCUACGGGUGAAAGCAGGGGAUCUUCGGGCCUUGCGCGAUUGAAUGAGCCGACGUCGGAUUAGCUAGUUGGCGGGGUAAAGGCCCACCAAGGCGACGAUCCGUAGCUGGUCUGAGAGGAUGAUCAGCCACACUGGAACUGAGACACGGUCCAGACUCCUACGGGAGGCAGCAGUGGGGAAUAUUGGACAAUGGGCGCAAGCCUGAUCCAGCCAUACCGCGUGGGUGAAGAAGGCCUUCGGGUUGUAAAGCCCUUUUGUUGGGAAAGAAAAGCAGCAGGUUAAUACCCCGCUGUUCUGACGGUACCCAAAGAAUAAGCACCGGCUAACUUCGUG
rnacentral:rRNA from 1 species